UACGUAGGGGACGAGCGUUGUCCGGAAUUACUGGGCGUAAAGGGCGCGCAGGCGGUAUAUCAAGUCAGCUGUCAAAGACUGGGGCUCAACCCUGGUAUGCGGUUGAAACUGAUAUGCUGGAGUGCUGUAGAGGCAAGUGGAAUUCCCAGUGUAGCGGUGAAAUGCGUAGAUAUUGGGAAGAACACCGGUGGCGAAGGCGACUUGCUGGGCAGCAACUGACGCCGAGGCGCGAAAGCCAGGGGAGCAAACGGGAUUAGAUA
rnacentral:rRNA from 1 species